GUUGGGGGGGAAAGACCACCGGGGAUUGCCCCAGUAACGGCGAGUGAAGCGGCAACAGCUCAAAUUUGAAAUCUGGCCCCUCCGGGUCCGAGUUGUAAUUUGUAGAGGAUGCUUUUGGUGAGGUGCCGCCCGAGUUCCCUGGAACGGGACGCCACAGAGGGUGAGAGCCCCGUCUGGCUGGCCACCGAGCCUCUGUAAAGCUCCUUCGACGAGUCGAGUAGUUUGGGAAUGCUGCUCAAAAUGGGAGGUAUAUGUCUUCUAAAGCUAAAUAUUGGCCAGAGACCGACCGUAAACAAGUUAAGUGAUCGAAAGAUGAAUCU
rnacentral:rRNA from 1 species